CCCUUAGAUGUUCUGGGCCGCACGCGCGCUACACUGAUGCAUGCAACGAGUUCUAUCCUUGGCCGGAAGGCCUGGGUAAUCUGUGAACGUGCAUCGUGAUAGGGAUAGAUUAUUGCAAUUAUUAAUCUUGAACGAGGAAUUCCUAGUAAACGCAAGUCAUCAGCUUGCAUUGAUUACGUCCCUGCCCUUUGUACACACCGCACGUCGCACCUACCGAUCGAAGGUAAUGAUGAGCCCUCAGGAUUGUGGCCUCGUCGCGUCAGCGUCUUGGCUGCGAGAAUCUGUGCAAAUCCCUACCUUUAGAGGAAGGUGAAGUCGUAACA
rnacentral:rRNA from 1 species